ACUCCUACGGGAGGCAGCAGUGGGGAAUUUUGGACAAUGGGCGAAAGCCUGAUCCAGCAAUGCCGCGUGAGUGAAGAAGGCCUUCGGGUUGUAAAGCUCUUUUGUCAGGGAAGAAACGGUGAAAGCUAAUAUCUUUUGCUAAUGACGGUACCUGAAGAAUAAGCACCGGCUAACUACGUGCCAGCAGCCGCGGUAAUACGUAGGGUGCAAGCGUUAAUCGGAAUUACUGGGCGUAAAGCGUGCGCAGGCGGUUUUGUAAGUCUGAUGUGAAAUCCCCGGGCUCAACCUGGGAAUUGCAUUGGAGACUGCAAGGCUAGAAUCUGGCAGAGGGGGGUAGAAUUCCACGUGUAGCAGUGAAAUGCGUAGAUAUGUGGAGGAACACCGAUGGCGAAGGCAGCCCCCUGGGUCAAGAUUGACGCUCAUGCACGAAAGCGUGGGGAGCAAACAGGAUUAGAAACCCGAGUAGUCCC
rnacentral:rRNA from 1 species